UACGAGGGGGGCAAAUGUUGUUCGGAAUCACUGGGCGUAAAGGGAGCGUAGGCGGGUUCUAAGUCAGGUGUUUAAUCCCGGGGCCCAACCCCGGACAGGCCACUUGAAACUGGGAAUCUUGAAUAGUGGAGAGGUCAGUGGAAUUGGGGGUGUAGCGGGUGGAAUGCGGUAGAGAUCCCAAGAACACCAGUUGCGAAGGCGGCUGACUGGACACAGUAUUGACGCUGAGGCUCGAAAGCGUGGGGAGCAAACAGGG
rnacentral:rRNA from 1 species